rnacentral:rRNA from 1 species
UACGUAGGCAGCAAGCGUUGUUCGGAAUUACUGGGCGUAAAGAGUGUGUAGGCGGUGCUCCAAGUCUGGUGUGAAAUCUCCCGGCUCAACUGGGAGGGUGCAUUAGAAACUGGAAUGCUAGAGGAUGGGAGAGGUAAGCGGAAUUCCUGGUGUAGCGGUGAAAUGCGUUGAUAUCGGAAGGAACGCCGGUGGCGAAAGCGGCGUGCUGGAUCUCUUCUGACGCUGAGGCGCGAAAGCUAGGGGAGCAAACGGG